rnacentral:lncRNA from 1 species
GCCAGGGCUACACAGAGAAACCCUGUCUCAAAAAACAAAAACAAAAAUAAAUUUAAAAAAACCCAUCUUAUUAAUGACUUUACUUUGUUAAUGGCUGAACAGUGAAAUCGUUAAAUUUCACUGCUAUUAAAAAAGCAAUGUUGCAAAGUGAAAAUUCAAGUUGUAUACAUUUCAGUAAAUUUUAUUCCAAAUGUUUAAAUAAUAUAAAAGACCACACAAGGAAAAGGUUCUUGCCUCGCCCCAAUUUGUAGAGGUGCUCACCGCUGAUAAUUACUUGCUUGUAUAAUUUCCCCAGAGAUGUUCUAUUUAGGACAUUUAGUCAUGACAUAAUUCUCUUGAGAGACUAGCACUUUCUUUCAGGAAAUCUCUCCUGAGCCGGCAGAGACCUCCCUGUAGAGAGCUGCGCAGUCAGGAGCAGGAACCUUCUUUCUACACACCGUUUCCCACUGCUCACUUGGCUGUGUCUAGCUUUUGCUAUUAUGAACAAUACUAGUCAAUUCCCUUGAAAGUACAGCUGUGAUUGGGGAUAUAUAUAUAUAUUCCUAGGAGAGAAACUGCCAAAUCAGUUUUCUGUGUUGAAAUCCAAAAAUACAUAUUUUUAGUUAGUAUACAACACAAUGGGUUUGACUACAGCGUUUUCAUACUUGUCUAUCUUCACCCCUUGCCCAUACUCACCUCCUCACUGCCCUUCCCUGUGCCUUCCGCUUCCUCCCCAACACCCUUGUUGCAAUGUUAAUAGACAAUUCCAGCUCCCAUGCAGAAACUGCAGCAGUCUGCGCUUCUCCUUGCAGCAGAGAAGGAGGUCUGUGUCUCCCAGCCUCACCGGCUCUGAGAGCACCGAACUUUACCAUCUAGAGGUGUACACACCGGGAAGGGCGGCACACCUGAAGUGAUCCCUUCGGCAGAGGAAUGAUCACAUCAGCCUGAAAGAGACGCUGCCAAUAAAUAUGAAAGAAACGUGUGCCUGGUUUUCUUUUGCUCUCGUGGGAAAAUUCAAAGAAAUGAAUCCACUGCUACCCUGUCCGUCGCCUUUGGGACCCCCGAAGCGACAGCUGGAACUACCAGCGUGGUGAGCUCCGGGGCCUGAUCAUCUGGGCCCCGAGAUCGCAGUCCCACCCACCUAGGGAAGGAUGUGACAGUGUCGGGUCCUUCCAGAGGCGCUGGCUGGGCUCCAGCCGCAGGAGGAUGCCAAGCCCCGGGCGCACUUCGCGCUGGCGAUGUCCUCGGGACUCUGCCGGAGCCGGGCAGCCUGUGAGCUCCGGAAGAAACUACAAGGCGGCGGAGGGCGGCUGCGGGGCGGGCCGGCGUGUCGCCCUCUCACGAGGGUGUCGCGCUGAGGAGCGCCUGGCUGGUCACCCCGAAGGGCUCGCGGUGGCGGGUGGCGGCUGCUACUCAC